UACGUAGGGUGCGAGCGUUGUCCGGAAUUAUUGGGCGUAAAGGGCUCGUAGGCGGUUUGUCGCGUCGGGAGUGAAAACGCCGUGCUUAACACGGCGCUUGCUUUCGAUACGGGCAGACUAGAGGUAUUCAGGGGAGAACGGAAUUCCUGGUGUAGCGGUGAAAUGCGCAGAUAUCAGGAGGAACACCGGUGGCGAAGGCGGUUCUCUGGGAAUGACCUGACGCUGAGGAGCGAAAGUGUGGGGAGCGAAC
rnacentral:rRNA from 1 species